CCUCGCUAGUGAUGUUGUACUUUCCCUUAAUCCGAAUCUCCUCGGCUUUGAGUUUCUCCUCCUCGCGCAUCUCGUGGUCGGACUCCAGGGCGUCGAAGACAGCGGCGCCCACCAGGAGUGUUGAUGAUCCCCAUUGAAUAGAUGAAGAAACAGGAGCCAUGAGAAGUGUCUUGCUCAAGGUCAUGUAGCAAGAAGAAGAAAAUACUUCCCAAUAAACUGAAAAACCUCAACAACAGAAGGGCCUCAACCAGGGAGUAGUUUCUUGUUACUAGAAAUAUUUAAGAAGAGGAUGUUUGACCAUCUGUCAGGUUUGGAC